rnacentral:rRNA from 1 species
CCUACGUGAGGCAGCAGUGAGGAAUAUUGGUCAAUGGACGAGAGUCUGAACCAGCCAAGUAGCGUGAAGGAUGACUGCCCUAUUGGUUGUACACUUCUUUUAUCUGGGAAUAAAACGUUCCCCGUGUGGGCUUUUGUAUGUACCAUAUGAAUAAGGAUCGGCUAACUCCGUUCCAACAGCCGCGGUAAUACGGAGGAUCCGAGCGUUUUCCGGAUUUAUUGGGUUUAAAGGGCGCGUAGGUGGAUUGUUAAGUCAGUUGGGAAAGUUUGCGGGUCAACCGUAACAUUGCAGUUGAAACUGGCAGUCUUGAGUACAGUAGAGGUGGGCGGAAUUCGUGGUGUAGCGGUGAAAUGCUUAGAUAUCACGAAGAACUCCGAUUGCGAAGGCAGUUCACUGGACUGCAACUGACACUGAGGCUCGAAAGUGUGGGUAUCAAACAGGAUUAGAUACCCGAGUAGUC